rnacentral:lncRNA from 1 species
CAGGUCAUAAUCUGUAGCUAGAUCUAUAGUCUCUCUAAUAUUAUGACAGGUCAGGACAUAAUCUGUAGCUAGAUCUAUAGUCUAAUAUUAUGACAGGUCAGGACAUAAUCUGUAGCUAGAUCUAUAGUUUAAUAUUAUGACAGGUCAGGUCAUAAUCUGUAGCUAGAUCUAUAGUCUCUAAUAUUAUGACAGGUCAGGUUAUAAUCUGUAGCUAGAUCUAUUGUCUAAUAUUAUGACAUAAUCUGUAGCUAGAUCUAUUGUCUCUAAUACUAUGACAGGUCAGGACAUAAUCUGUAGUUAGAUCUAUUGUCUAAUAUCAUGACAGGUCAUGUCAUAAUCUGUAGCUAGAUCUAUAGUCUAAUAAUAUGACAGGUCAGGACAUAAUUUGUAGCUAGAUCUAUUGUCUAAUAUUAUGACAGGUUAGGACAUAAUCUGUAGCUAGAUCUAUUGUCUAAUAUUAUGACAUGUCAGGACAUAAUUUGUAGCUAGAUCUAUAGUCUAAUAUUAUGACAGGUCAGGACAUAAUCUGUAGCUAGAUCUAUUGUCUAAUACCAUGACAGGUCAGGACAUAAUCUGUAGCUAGAUCUAUAGUCUACUAUUGUGACAGGUCAGGACAUAAUUAGUUUAUGUAUUUUGGUUACAGAUUUCUAUUAGUUAGAAUUCUGUUAUUUGUGAUUCAAUGGUUGAAUUUAGCUGGUGCUGUUGAGCCAGUUGCUCCAAAGGGUGACGCUCCGGGCUGUGGGGUUUGCAUUAGAAAGCCUUGUGGUUAUAAUGUUCUGGAUAAACAGGGUGAUAGGUGAGUCCAGAAUUUGGAGGCUCUUU